rnacentral:rRNA from 1 species
AUGGCGUCAUCAGCGGGGCAUCGUCGGCGGGGCAAGAACAGGCCCAAAAAGAAGAAGAAAAUGGCCGGACCAACCACCGUGCAGGACCUCCCUGACCAUCUCUUCGAGCUCGUCCUCGCCCGCCUCGGCCCGUCCCCGUGCCUCGUCCGCGCCGCGGCCGCCUGCAAGCGGUGGUGCCGCGUCAUCGCCAACCCCGGCUUCCUCGCCCGCUUCGGCCCGCAGGCGCCGCACGUCGGCGACUACCACACCGACCACGGCGGUCGACCCCUCUUCGUCCCGUCCUCGCCGGUCGUCGUCGACUGCAGCCGCUUCUCCCUCGACUUCCUCCCGGACAGCGGAUCGUGGGACAUCGCGGACAGCCGCGGCAGCCUUCUCCUCCUAUGCGACGGCUACGAUCUAAUCGUUUGCGAGCCGCUCACCGGACUCUACCAGGGGAUCCUCUGGCCUGGCGUGUUCCGGCGUCGCCUGGGCGUGUUCCUGCUCGACGGCGACGACGCGGACCGCCGCGUCAGCAUGUCCAACUUCAGGGUCCUCGCUGCCUUCGACGAAACCACUGCGUGCAUCUUCUCCACCGGCGGGGACGGCGGUUGGCGCCUCGUGUCCAGCGCUAUCGCCGGCGACAUCGAGCUCCCGUCAACGCUCGGCCCCGAAAAUUUCGUAGGGCGUGCAAAUGGCACUGUAUAUUGGGGAAUCGAAGGAAGUGACACCGAUGUACUUGUUCUUGCUGAGUCCACGGCGGAGUUCUCCAUCGCCGCAUUCCCGGAGACCGUGUGGUGGCCAUCCCACAGAGGGAUCUCUCGGGUUGUGGGCGGCGACGACGGCGUGCUGCGCGUUAUACGCCUGAUAAACAACGAGCUCAAGGUCUUUGCACGCCGGCAUCCAGACAGUGAUGGCGAUGAGUGGUUGCUGGAGAUGCACCUGAGGUUGCCGGAGGCCACCCUUGGGCUGCCGGGGCGCAAAGAGAGCUUUUUCCAGCAAGAAGCCAUGAUUGUCUCCGCGAAUGCUGGAUACGUCCUGCUGACACCGAGCGAGGAGACGUGGCUGUUCUCCGUUGAGCUGGACACGAUGCGAGUUGAGCGCGAGCACGAGAGAAACAAGUACGCCGGAGCAGCUCACCCGUACAAGCUGCCGUGGCCGCCGGCUUUGGCUGAUCAUAGCGGGGAGAGCAGGCGAUGA